GGAAAAUCCGUCGACUUUAGAAAUCGUGAGGGUUCAAGUCCCUCCUAUCCCCAUUGUUCAAGUCCUCUAUCCCCAAACAAAAAGG
rnacentral:tRNA from 1 species